rnacentral:rRNA from 1 species
CGCCCCGGGUGCGUAAAAGCCCCGGAACCAGGCGCCCGCCGGAGGAACCAACCAAACUCUUUCUGUAGUCCCCUCGCGGACGUAUUUCUUACAGCUCUGAGCAAAAAUUCAAAAUGAAUCAAAACUUUCAACAACGGAUCUCUUGGUUCUGGCAUCGAUGAAGAACGCAGCGAAAUGCGAUAAGUAAUGUGAAUUGCAGAAUUCAGUGAAUCAUCGAAUCUUUGAACGCACAUUGCGCCCGCCAGUAUUCUGGCGGGCAUGCCUGUCCGAGCGUCAUUUCAACCCUCGAACCCCUCCGGGGGAUCGGCGUUGGGGAUCGGGACCCCUCACCGGGUGCCGGCCCUGAAAUACAGUGGCGGUCUCGCCGCAGCCUCUCCUGCGCAGUAGUUUGCACAACUCGCACCGGGAGCGCGGCGCGUCCACGUCCGUAAAACACCCAACUUCUGAAAUGUUGACCUCGGAUCAGGUAGGAAUACCCGCUGAACUUAAGCAUAUCAAUAAGCGGAGGGUAAGAAACCAACCAU